AGUGAACGCUGGCGGCAGGCCUAACACAUGCAAGUCGGACGGCAGCACAAGAGAGCUUGCUCUCUGGGUGGCGAGUGGCGGACGGGUGAGGAAUGCAUCGGAAUCUGCCCAUUUGUGGGGGAUAACCUCGGGAAACCGGGACUAAUACCGCAUACGACCUACGGGUGAAAGCAGGGGAUCUUCGGACCUUGCGCAGAUGGAUGAGCCGAUGCCGGAUUAGCUAGUUGGAGGGGUAAAGGCCCACCAAGGCGACGAUCCGUAGCUGGUCUGAGAGGAUGAUCAGCCACACUGGGACUGAGACACGGCCCAGACGCCUACGGGAGGCAGCAGUGGGGAAUAUUGGACAAUGGGCGCAAGCCUGAUCCAGCCAUGCCGCGUGUGUGAAGAAGGCCUUCGGGUUGUAAAGAACUUUUGUUGGGAAAGAAAAGCAGCCGGUUAAUACCCGGUUGUCAUGACGGUACCCAAAGAAUAAGCACCGGCUAACUUCGUG
rnacentral:rRNA from 1 species